GACGAACGCUGGCGGCGUGCUUAACACAUGCAAGUCGAACGGAAAGGCCCUGCUUUUGUUGGGUGCUCGAGUGGCGAACGGGUGAGUAACACGUGAGUAACCUGCCCUUGACUUUGGGAUAACUUUGGGAAACUGGGGCUAAUACCGGAUAGGAGCUCCUGCUGCAUGGUGGGGGUUGGAAAGUUUCGGCGGUUGGGGGUGGACUCGCGGCUUAUCAGUUUGUUGGUGGGGUAGUGGUUUACCAAGGUCUUGGCGGGUCGCCGGCCUGAGAGGGUGACCGGACACAUUGGGACUGAGAUACGGCCCAGACUCCUACGGGAGGCAGCAGGGGGGAAUAGUGCAAAAUGGGCGGAAGCGUGAUGCAGCAACGCCGCGUGCGGGAUGACGGCCUUCGGGUUGUAAACCGCUUUCGCCUGUGGCGAAGCGUGAGUGACGGUAAUGGGUAAAGAAGCACCGGCUAACUACGUG
rnacentral:rRNA from 1 species